GACGUAGGGCGCGAGCGUUGUCCGGAUUUAUUGGGCGUAAAGAGCUCGUAGGCGGCUUGUUGCGUCGACCGUGAAAACCCGGGGCUCAACUUCGGGCUUGCGGUCGAUACGGGCAUCACUGGAGUUCGGCAGGGGAGACUGGAAUUCCUGGUGUAGCGGUGAAAUGCGCAGAUAUCAGGAGGAACACCGGUGGCGAAGGCGGGUCUCUGGGCCGUAACUGACGCUGAGGAGCGAAAGCGUGGGGAGCGAACAGG
rnacentral:rRNA from 1 species